CGUGGGUAACCUGCCCAAGAGAUCGGGAUAACACCUGGAAACAGAUGCUAAUACCGGAUAACAACAGAUGAUGCCUAUCAACUGUUUAAAAGAUGGUUCUGCUAUCACUCUUGGAUGGACCUGCGGUGCAUUAGCUAGUUGGUAGGGUAACGGCCUACCAAGGCGAUGAUGCAUAGCCGAGUUGAGAGACCGAUCGGCCACAUUGGGACUGAGACACGGCCCAAACUCCACGGGAGGCAGCAGCG
rnacentral:rRNA from 1 species